UUUUUUUUUUUUUUGGAGAUAAGUAGCAUGCUACCCGCUUCGUUUAUUUCAUUUAGAAAUAAACUUAGCUGAAAAUGUGAAUCAAUUAGGAUUCAAACUUGGGUCUCGGGUACCAACCAUCAAGCCCUUUGCCACUUGCUCUAGGGACAGUCGGUGCCAUGCUUCAGUUCUUGUUUACACAAAAAUAGCUGUUAAUAGAGUUUUUGACAAAAUAAAAAAGUCUAAAGCUUCUGCCACUGUGGGAAGUAGAACUUAAUGAUAUUCUUUUUUUUGAGAGAUAGGUAGCAUGCUACCCACUUCGUUUAUUUAGUUAGAAAUGUAAAUCAACUAGGAUUCGAACUUGGAACCUCAGGUACUAACCAUCAAGUCCUUUGUCAUUUGCGCUAGGGACGAUCAAUAGAACUUAAUGACAUUCUAAGCUUCAAAAGUAAAGAAACUAUAUAUGUUGGUACUUCUGAUU
rnacentral:lncRNA from 1 species